rnacentral:rRNA from 1 species
AGAGUUUGAUCAUGGCUCAGAUUGAACGCUGGCGGAAUGCUUUACACAUGCAAGUCGAACGGCAGCACGGGGCAACCUGGUGGCGAGUGGCGAACGGGUGAGUAAUACAUCGGAACGUGCCCAAUCGUGGGGGAUAACGUAGCGAAAGUUACGCUAAUACCGCAUACGAUCUACGGAUGAAAGCGGGGGAUCGCAAGACCUCGCGCGAGUGGAGCGGCCGAUGUCAGAUUAGGUAGUUGGUGGGGUAAAGGCUCACCAAGCCAACGAUCUGUAGCUGGUCUGAGAGGACGACCAGCCACACUGGAACUGAGACACGGUCCAGACUCCUACGGGAGGCAGCAGUGGGGAAUUUUGGACAAUGGGCGCAAGCCUGAUCCAGCCUUUCCGCGUGCAGGAUGAAGGCCUUCGGGUUGUAAACUGCUUUUGUACGGAACGAAACGGCGAGCUCUAAUACAGUUUGCUAAUGACGGUACCGUAAGAAUAAGCACCGGCUAACUACGUG